GACGAACGCUGGCGGCAGGCCUAACACAUGCAAGUCGAGCGAAGCCUUCGGGUUUAGCGGCGGACGGGUGAGUAACGCGUGGGAACCUACCCAGUAGUAUGGAAUAACUCAGGGAAACUUGAGCUAAUACCGUAUACGCCCUUCGGGGGAAAGAUUUAUCGCUAUUGGAUGGGCCCGCGUUGGAUUAGUUUGUUGGUGAGGUAACGACUCACCAAGGCUACGAUCCAUAGCUGGUCUGAGAGGAUGAUCAGCCACACUGGGACUGAGACACGGCCCAGACUCCUACGGGAGGCAGCAGCAGGGAAUCUUGCGCAAUGGGCGAAAGCCUGACGCAGCAACGCCGCGUGGAGGAAGAAGGCCUUCGGGUCGUAAACUCCUUUUGCAGGGGAAGAAGGUCUGACGGUACCCUGCGAAUAAGCCACGGCUAACUACGUG
rnacentral:rRNA from 1 species